CAGGGGGCGCCGGGCCCGCCCGUGGGGGAGCGAGCGCCGCGCCUAAAGCCGCGCCUAAAGCCGCGCCUAAAGCCGCGCCUGUGAGAGCGGGACACGCUGGGCCAGCAGUUAGCGUGUAGGGAAAAAAUACGUGGGGUUUGUGCUCCACUGGAUGUUUGUCGUGAUUUGUUCUCCACAGCUUGCUGGAGACGCCGAGGAUGUUGGUAGACGACAAAUGGAAUGGCUUGUAAAUCAGAACCUGCAGGAAGCAGCAGUACUAGUAACUGCAGAUGAUCUGGAUGCGCCCAAACCUCUGUAAAUACUUUCACUGCCCUAAAUGAGGAAUCCGUGCUGCUGUCUCGGCCAUCCCCAUCACCUCAGCCUCAACUUUGCCCCUACCUGAACAAUGUCGCUACAGCAGUAUGCAAAAUACAGACUAUCUAAAGUUUAAAGAGUAUUUAAAGACAGUAUCAUUUACUUGUUCUGCAGAUGCAUUGUAUUGUCUUUAUUGGAGAUUGAAUAGUGCCUAGACAGACCUGUAAUCUGACCCAUUACUUUUUUUUUUUUUUUUUUUUUUUUUUUUUGCAUCCUCUCUGCUGUUUACACUGUGUCAUAAAACAAAUGGCACUGCUAUUAACUGGAAAAUCUGGUCUAGCAUGCAUGAUGUGCAUUUAGAGUGACAGUUCUGUACCUUGAUCUAGACUUAAUGGUACCACUCUGAAUGGAGCAUCUGGUACAAGAAGUCUUCCUUAGGACAUGUAAGUAUUUGUUUUACUGAGAUCUGUAAGGAAACUUGUAUAUGUAUUUAGUUGUAUUAUUAAACAUAUUAUGAGAAGAAAAUAAGUAUACAAAUGGUUGCUCACUUGUAUAGAGUUAGUAGUUGGAGGAAGUUCUGAAACUUUCUAAGACAACCUAUGGCCUGGUCCUGCUGGAGCUGCCUGUAACCCCAUUUAAGUUUCUCCAAGUGUAUGUUCACAAACAACCUCUCUUCACAAUCCCCUGCUCUUGGAGCAAGUCCAGGAUGACAGUGCCUGCUACAGCAACUGUGCCUUUUUUACCCAGGUCAGGUUAGGCACAUCUGCCUGCCAGGUACUAAAUUCAGUCUUCUGCAAUUUUCAGUUGACUUUCUUCCCCUCUGCUCAGACAUUCUUCAUUCAUCUUGUGGUGCUUUGUUUCUGUUUUCUGACUAAAUCUCUUCCUCUUGUUUCUUUAGUUCCUUGGAUUGUAAACCACACGCUGGAACACAAAUAAACUGGAAAUUCUACAAGUCUUUUAUAAAAAUA